AUGAACGCUGGCGGCGUGCCUAAUACAUGCAAGUCGAGCGAACGGACGCGAAGCUUGCUUCUCUGAUGUUAGCGGCGGACGGGUGAGUAACACGUGGAUAACCUACCUAUAAGACUGGGAUAACUUCGGGAAACCGGAGCUAAUACCGGAUAAUAUUUUGAACCGCAUGGUUCAAAAGUGAAAGACGGUCUUGCUGUCACUUAUAGAUGGAUCCGCGCUGCAUUAGCUAGUUGGUAAGGUAACGGCUUACCAAGGCAACGAUGCAUAGCCGACCUGAGAGGGUGAUCGGCCACACUGGAACUGAGACACGGUCCAGACUCCUACGGGAGGCAGCAGUAGGGAAUCUGCCGCAAUGGGCGAAAGCCUGACGGAGCAACGCCGCGUGAGUGAUGAAGGUCUUCGGAUCGUAAAACUCUGUUAUUAGGGAAGAACAUAUGUGUAAGUAACUGUGCACAGCUUGACGGUACCUAAUCAGAAAGCCACGGCUAACUACGUG
rnacentral:rRNA from 1 species